AUUAAUGUGUUUAUUUCAUAACAUGGGAUUGCCUUUGUAUCUAAAUAAAUAUUUUGUUUGCUCAAGUGUUAAAGCUGCCGAUAGGCAGUGUAUGACUGUUUGUGUUUGACUUUGCAGAAUUGUCUGAAUUUGUCUUUGAAAAAUGUUUGUGCUUGUGCAUAUGUGUUUCUUCAUGCAUAAAAGUUGGUGUUGCUGCCUGAAUGAUUUUGAAUGUAUUUAUGUGAAUGAAUC